UACGUAGGGGGCUAGCGUUGUCCGGAAUCAUUGGGCGUAAAGAGCGUGUAGGCGGUCCGGUAAGUCCGCUGUGAAAGUCGGGGGCUCAACCCUCGAAUGCCGGUGGAUACUGUCGGGCUAGAGUGCGGAAGAGGCGAGUGGAAUUCCUGGUGUAGCGGUGAAAUGCGCAGAUAUCAGGAAGAACACCUAUGGCGAAGGCAGCUCUCUGGGACGGUACUGACGCUGAGACGCGAAAGCGUGGGGAGCAAACAGG
rnacentral:rRNA from 1 species